rnacentral:rRNA from 1 species
UUGAACGCUGGCGGCAUGCCUUACACAUGCAAGUCGAACGGCAGCACGGGAGCAAUCCUGGUGGCGAGUGGCGAACGGGUGAGUAAUAUAUCGGAACGUGCCCGAUCGUGGGGGAUAACGCAGCGAAAGCUGUGCUAAUACCGCAUACGAUCUACGGAUGAAAGCAGGGGACCGCAAGGCCUUGCGCGGACGGAGCGGCCGAUGGCAGAUUAGGUAGGUGGUGGGAUAAAAGCUUACCAAGCCGACGAUCUGUAGCUGGUCUGAGAGGACGACCAGCCACACUGGGACUGAGACACGGUCCAGACUCCUACGGGAGGCAGCAGUGGGGAAUUUUGGACAAUGGGGGCAACCCUGAUCCAGCCAUUCCGCGUGAGUGAAGAAGGCCUUCGGGUUGUAAAGCUCUUUCGGCAGGAACGAAACGGUGCGGGCCAAUACCCCGCAUCAAUGACGGUACCUGAAGAAGAAGCACCGGCUAACUACGU